GGGAGGGAUAUGUGGUGUCCAUAAGCGUUUUACCAUGUGGGGCUUGUACACUUCACUACAGUGCUUGUUUGGAGGUUUUAUAAUUGAAGCAGGGAGUUUGGUGGUUGUGUAUACUCUCCAUGUUGAGCAGGUGAGGAGGAAGAAAUGGCAUAUCUUUGCUACAGUGUUUGUUUGGAAGUUUUUUAAUAUGGAGAGAAUAGCAAGAGCUUUUUCUUCUGAUGAAGACUCUGUUAUUUAACUAAUUGAAGCGAUUGAUAGCCUGAAUGUAUUUUUCCAGUUGGGAUAUGUGAGUUAUGCCCAUAUGAGGGGCCAGCCAAUAAAAUUAAUCCAGAUUUUGUUGAAGUGAUAAUGAGGAUAGGUCUAUAUCAGCAGUUCUUAACCAGGGAUAUUCAUAUCCCUUGGGGUAUGGGAACUAAAUGCUGGAGGUAUAGGACUUGAUCUCUAGAGUGUUGAUAUUUAUUUUAUUUAAUGUAUGAUUAUCCAAUAUGGUAAUACCGCUUGGGGGGUAUGGGACCAUAUUGGACAAUCCAUUGGGGAUCUGGAGUCAUCAAAAGAUUAAGAACCCCUAGUCUAU
rnacentral:lncRNA from 1 species